rnacentral:rRNA from 1 species
GGGUUGUGAGGUUAAGCGACUAAGCGUACACGGUGGAUGCCCUGGCAGUCAGAGGCGAUGAAGGACGUGCUAAUCUGCGAUAAGCGUCGGUAAGGUGAUAUGAACCGUUAUAACCGGCGAUUUCCGAAUGGGGAAACCCAGUGUGAUUCGUCACACUAUCAUUAACUGAAUCCAUAGGUUAAUGAGGCGAACCGGGGGAACUGAAACAUCUAAGUACCCCGAGGAAAAGAAAUCAACCGAGAUUCCCCCAGUAGCGGCGAGCGAACGGGGAGGAGCCCAGAGCCUGAAUCAGUGUGUGUGUUAGUGGAAGCGUCUGGAAAGGCGCGCGAUACAGGGUGACAGCCCCGUACACAAAAAUGCACAUGCUGUGAGCUCGAUGAGUAGGGCGGGACACGUGGUAUCCUGUCUGAAUAUGGGGGGACCAUCCUCCAAGGCUAAAUACUCCUGACUGACCGAUAGUGAACCAGUACCGUGAGGGAAAGGCGAAAAGAACCCCGGCGAGGGGAGUGAAAAAGAACCUGAAACCGUGUACGUACAAGCAGUGGGAGCACGCUUAGGCGUGUGACUGCGUACCUUUUGUAUAAUGGGUCAGCGACUUAUAUUCUGUAGCAAGGUUAACCGAAUAGGGGAGCCGAAGGGAAACCGAGUCUUAACUGGGCGUUAAGUUGCAGGGUAUAGACCCGAAACCCGGUGAUCUAGCCAUGGGCAGGUUGAAGGUUGGGUAACACUAACUGGAGGACCGAACCGACUAAUGUUGAAAAAUUAGCGGAUGACUUGUGGCUGGGGGUGAAAGGCCAAUCAAACCGGGAGAUAGCUGGUUCUCCCCGAAAGCUAUUUAGGUAGCGCCUCGUGAAUUCAUCUCCGGGGGUAGAGCACUGUUUCGGCAAGGGGGUCAUCCCGACUUACCAACCCGAUGCAAACUGCGAAUACCGGAGAAUGUUAUCACGGGAGACACACGGCGGGUGCUAACGUCCGUCGUGAAGAGGGAAACAACCCAGACCGCCAGCUAAGGUCCCAAAGUCAUGGUUAAGUGGGAAACGAUGUGGGAAGGCCCAGACAGCCAGGAUGUUGGCUUAGAAGCAGCCAUCAUUUAAAGAAAGCGUAAUAGCUCACUGGUCGAGUCGGCCUGCGCGGAAGAUGUAACGGGGCUAAACCAUGCACCGAAGCUGCGGCAGCGACGCUGAUGCGUUGUUGGGUAGGGGAGCGUUCUGUAAGCCUGCGAAGGUGUGCUGUGAGGCAUGCUGGAGGUAUCAGAAGUGCGAAUGCUGACAUAAGUAACGAUAAAGCGGGUGAAAAGCCCGCUCGCCGGAAGACCAAGGGUUCCUGUCCAACGUUAAUCGGGGCAGGGUGAGUCGACCCCUAAGGCGAGGCCGAAAGGCGUAGUCGAUGGGAAACAGGUUAAUAUUCCUGUACUUGGUGUUACUGCGAAGGGGGGACGGAGAAGGCUAUGUUGGCCGGGCGACGGUUGUCCCGGUUUAAGCGUGUAGGCUGGUUUUCCAGGCAAAUCCGGAAAAUCAAGGCUGAGGCGUGAUGACGAGGCACUACGGUGCUGAAGCAACAAAUGCCCUGCUUCCAGGAAAAGCCUCUAAGCAUCAGGUAACAUCAAAUCGUACCCCAAACCGACACAGGUGGUCAGGUAGAGAAUACCAAGGCGCUUGAGAGAACUCGGGUGAAGGAACUAGGCAAAAUGGUGCCGUAACUUCGGGAGAAGGCACGCUGAUAUGUAGGUGAAGCGACUUGCUCGUGGAGCUGAAAUCAGUCGAAGAUACCAGCUGGCUGCAACUGUUUAUUAAAAACACAGCACUGUGCAAACACGAAAGUGGACGUAUACGGUGUGACGCCUGCCCGGUGCCGGAAGGUUAAUUGAUGGGGUUAGCGCAAGCGAAGCUCUUGAUCGAAGCCCCGGUAAACGGCGGCCGUAACUAUAACGGUCCUAAGGUAGCGAAAUUCCUUGUCGGGUAAGUUCCGACCUGCACGAAUGGCGUAAUGAUGGCCAGGCUGUCUCCACCCGAGACUCAGUGAAAUUGAACUCGCUGUGAAGAUGCAGUGUACCCGCGGCAAGACGGAAAGACCCCGUGAACCUUUACUAUAGCUUGACACUGAACAUUGAGCCUUGAUGUGUAGGAUAGGUGGGAGGCUUUGAAGUGUGGACGCCAGUCUGCAUGGAGCCGACCUUGAAAUACCACCCUUUAAUGUUUGAUGUUCUAACGUGGACCCGUAAUCCGGGUUGCGGACAGUGUCUGGUGGGUAGUUUGACUGGGGCGGUCUCCUCCUAAAGAGUAACGGAGGAGCACGAAGGUUGGCUAAUCCUGGUCGGACAUCAGGAGGUUAGUGCAAUGGCAUAAGCCAGCUUGACUGCGAGCGUGACGGCGCGAGCAGGUGCGAAAGCAGGUCAUAGUGAUCCGGUGGUUCUGAAUGGAAGGGCCAUCGCUCAACGGAUAAAAGGUACUCCGGGGAUAACAGGCUGAUACCGCCCAAGAGUUCAUAUCGACGGCGGUGUUUGGCACCUCGAUGUCGGCUCAUCACAUCCUGGGGCUGAAGUAGGUCCCAAGGGUAUGGCUGUUCGCCAUUUAAAGUGGUACGCGAGCUGGGUUUAGAACGUCGUGAGACAGUUCGGUCCCUAUCUGCCGUGGGCGCUGGAGAACUGAGGGGGGCUGCUCCUAGUACGAGAGGACCGGAGUGGACGCAUCACUGGUGUUCGGGUUGUCAUGCCAAUGGCACUGCCCGGUAGCUAAAUGCGGAAGAGAUAAGUGCUGAAAGCAUCUAAGCACGAAACUUGCCCCGAGAUGAGUUCUCCCUGACUCCUUGAGAGUCCUGAAGGAACGUUGAAGACGACGACGUUGAUAGGCCGGGUGUGUAAGCGCAGCGAUGCGUUGAGCUAACCGGUACUAAUGAACCGUGAGG